UACGAAGGGGGCUAGCGUUGCUCGGAAUCACUGGGCGUAAAGCGCACGUAUGCGGAUUGUUAAGUCAGGGGUGAAAUCCUGGAGCUCAACUCCAGAACUGCCUUUGAUACUGGCAAUCUCGAGUUCGGGAGAGGUGAGUGGAACUGCGAGUGUAGAGGUGAAAUUCGUAGAUAUUCGCAAGAACACCAGUGGCGAAGGCGGCUCACUGGCCCGAUACUGACGCUGAGGUGCGAAAGCGUGGGGAGCAAACAGG
rnacentral:rRNA from 1 species